AUGACUGAAGCCUCCGCAGCACAAUUUGGAAAGACAAGGGUCAUCUCACUGGAGCCAAUGAGGGGUGAGGACGUCCAGAUCCCCUCCAGAGCAUUCACCGUGUGUCACGAAGGUUUGGCGUUUCGACUACCGGCUACACAGUGGCAACGGAGAGUGUGGUUAUAUCCUUGCUAUGUGGGGUGUUAUUAUUUGCUGCUCUAGCGGUAGGAGUAAUAAUAUGGUGGAAGCACCUGGAUAACAAAAGACUUAAAGAGAAGCAUCGAAGGAAUUAUAACUCAAAUGUACUUAACAUGUUGGAUGAAUACGCAUGCAAGUGGGACCCAGAUUCCCCUCAAACAAAACCCUUCUGUUUGCUAUCCUGGCUCCAAAAUGGUGGAACGACCUCCCCAUUGAUGUCAGGUCAGCAGACAGUCCUCACACCUUCCGUCGCAGACUGAAAACUCACCUGUUUCCACUGCACCUCGAUGAAUAAAGAAAAUAAAAAUAAUCUUGUUCUUUGUAUGUUGUGCUUAUUUGUAGCUAAUAGUUGAAUUCGUAUUCUAUUGUUUCUGUAUGUUGCACUGUUGUUUGGCUUAUUUGAAGCUAUUGUUCUGCACUUAAAGGAUUGCACCUACUUGAAGCUGAUGCACUUGUAAGAUUCUUGCUGUUCGGAGUUGUAUCCUCAUGAUUGUUUGCACUUAUUGUAAGUCGCUGUGGACAAAAGCGUCAGCUAAAUGAACUGUAAUGUAAUGAUGAUUACAUUAAAAACUAAUGACAGUG
ensembl:lncRNA